AAUGGCGAUGAUGAGUACUUUUACAGACAUGUAAUGAUUGCGGAUAUGAUCGUGAUUAUUGAACAUCUAAGGGACUGAGCCAUU